rnacentral:rRNA from 1 species
GACGAACGCUGGCGGCGUGGAUUAGGCAUGCAAGUCGAACGGUAUCAUCCUUUCGGGGGUGAGAGAGUGGCGAACUGGUGAGUAACACGUAGGUUAUCUACCCUCAAGACGGGGACAACCCAGGGAAACUUGGGCUAAUACCGGAUGUGAGCAACUUUUAGUUGUUUGAAAGGUGGCGUAAGCUGUCGCUUGGGGAUGAGCCUGCGUCCUAUUAGUUAGUUGGUGAGGUAACGGCUCACCUAGGCAAUGAUAGGUAGGCGGCCUUAACGGGUGGUCGCCCACACUGGGAUUGAGAUACGGCCCAGACUCCUACGGGAGGCAGCAGUCGAGAAUAGUCUACAAUGGUCGGAAGACUGAUAGUGCGACGCCGCGUGAACGAUGAAUCCCUUCGGGGUGUAAAGUUCUUUUAUAUGUGAGCAGUGCUUCUUAUAUUAACAGUAUGGGGAGAGAGAUAUUAGCAUAUGAAUAGGCAACGGCUAACUCCGUGCCAGCAGCCGCGGUAAACUCGU